rnacentral:rRNA from 1 species
GACGAACGCUGGCGGCGUGCUUAACACAUGCAAGUCGAACGGAAAGGCCCUGCUUUUGUGGGGUGCUCGAGUGGCGAACGGGUGAGUAACACGUGAGUAACCUGCCCUUGACUUUGGGAUAACUUCAGGAAACUGGGGCUAAUACAGGAUAGGAGCUCCUGCUGCAUGGUGGGGGUUGGAAAGUUUCGGCGGUUGGGGAUGGACUCGCGGCUUAUCAGCUUGUUGGUGGGGUAGUGGCUUACCAAGGCUUUGACGGGUAGCCGGCCUGAGAGGGUGACCGGCCACAUUGGGACUGAGAUACGGCCCAGACGCCUACGGGAGGCAGCAGUGGGGAAUAUUGCACAAUGGGCGGAAGCCUGAUGCAGCAACGCCGCGUGCGGGAUGACGGCCUUCGGGUUGUAAACCGCUUUCGCCUGUGACGAAGCGUGAGUGACGGUAAUGGGUAAAGAAGCACCGGCUAACUACGUG